rnacentral:rRNA from 1 species
CACCGCGGUUAUACGAUGCGCCCAAAUUGACAGCCUCCGGCAAAAAGCGUGGUUAAUUAAUACUGUAACUAAAGUCGAACCCAUUCAGGUCUGUCAAACGCCUCCGAAAAGGGGAAGCCCAACAACGAAAGUGACUUUAAAACAAAUGAACCCACGAAAGCUAAGGAA